rnacentral:tRNA from 1 species
AUGUGGCUCAGCGGUAGAGCGCUCACCUAGCAUGGGCGGGUCCUGGGUUCGAUCCUCAGCACCACAUA